rnacentral:rRNA from 1 species
AGAGCGUACACAGGUGCUGCAUGGCUGUCGUCAGCUCGUGUCGUGAGAUGUUGGGUUAAGUCCCGCAACGAGCGCAACCCUGCAUUCAGUUGCCAUCGGUAAGGCCGGGCACUCUGGAUGGACUGCCGGCGACAAGCCGGAGGAAGGUGGGGACGACGUCAAGUCAUCAUGGCCCUUAUGUCCAGGGCGACACACGUGCUACAAUGGCCGGCACAACGGGAAGCGAAGGGGCGACCCUGAGCGGAUCCCACAAAAGCCGGUCUCAGUUCGGAUUGCAGUCUGCAACUCGACUGCAUGAAGUUGGAAUCGCUAGUAAUCGUGGAUCAGCCAAGCCGCGGUGAAUACGUUCCCGGGCCUU